rnacentral:tRNA from 1 species
GGACGCGCUGGGCGGCUUGGCCGUGGCCACGACGCUUCCGGCGUCGGUUCUGGACGGCAACCUGUCGUUCGGCGUGAUCGAGGCGUUCCGCGCCAUC